GCAACCAGCGACAGUAAUCACAGACCAAGACACAUCCAUGAAAGAGGCUAUCCCUGAGGUCUUCAAGCUCUCCAAGCAUAGGAACUGUCUGUUCCAUGUGAAAAAAGGCUAAGGAGAAGUGCUGCAGGACUUUUGUGACGAAAGGUGAUCUCCAUGCUGACUUCACUGACAUUGUCCACAACUCCCUCACAACUGCAGAGUUUGAAAGGCUGUGGCGAUAGAUGGUGCAAAAGUAUGACAUUAAAAAUGUUAGCUAUUUCAAGAUUACGUGGAAACACAGGAGAAGGUGGGCACCGGUCUACUUCAAGACAGAUUUCCUUCCACUGAUACACUCGACAUCUAGGAGUGAAGGCAUGAAUGCCAUCUACAAGGACAAUGUAGCAUCAACUUACAAUGUGAUCAGCUUCAUGAAAGAAUAUGAAAAAAUAUCUGUACGCAUACAAGACAUGGAAAGGGAGCAAGACUCACUAACAAGGACAACUAAACCAACAUUCUGGGUGUGCAAUGAGCUUGAGAUUCAGGCAUCGCAAAAGUACAACCGACAAUUUUUUUACCGGUUUCAGAAGCAAAUGAAGUUUGCUGCAAAACUGCAUGUGCAUGUUGUUGAGAAUGGAUCAAGGUUCGAGGUUUAGAAGUCAAGCAUGCUUUCUGUAAAAGAUUUUAGGACGCACCGUUAUCUUGUACUAGAAAACCUGAGGCAAGAAGAUUUUGCUUGCAUCUGUGGCAAGUUUCAGAAAGAUGGCAUUUUAUGUGCACACAUUCUGCGAGUGCCUGUCCACCUGAACAAGUCUGUCCUGCCUGGCAAGUAUUAUAUAGAGAGGUGGAAACCAAAGGAUAGGAAGUAUGUAAGACACAAACAGUUCAAUAUUCCCAUGGAACUGAUCGAGGCAGGCUGGCAUUUGAGGUACGCACAACUCUCGAAUCUCCUCAAUGAGAUGGCUUCCGAUGGGGCAGGAAUGAAUGAGAAGUACUUGUUUGUUGUGAAGGAGAGUGAGAGGAUUUUUACUGGGCUUGAUGAGAUGAAUAAGGCAGAGGAGUUGAGAGAGCUUCAGGCAAGAGGGGUUGCCGUGGGAAAAGGUCCUCUAAGUCAAGUUUAAGUACCUCACCCCGAUGUCUAUGACACACUACAAGACCCGGACGUUGUCGUAUCUAAAGGUCGACCAAAAAGUCGUUACCUAACAACUAGGGAGAAGAUCCUUUCAAAGAAACAAAAUAAAUGCAGCCACUACAAUAGCCAUGACCAUAAUAUUGCUAGUUGUCACAACCUGCAUAUUGAUAAGUCCGAGUUUCAGAAGAAGAAACUAGCAACUAAAAAACCUACAGGUCCUUCUGGUUUGCCAGCUGGCAAAAAGAAUGGCGCUAAGCGUCAAUGGAAGAAAGCCCCUACCACAGAGGGUGAAGGGGUGCUGUAGUUCAGGAAGAAGAUUAUUGAAAAAAGUGAAUGGAAAAGAAAACAUGCAACACCUAGCAGAAAAAAACCUUUCAAGAAAAAGUUGUACCCGAUGCGAGAAAAGUACUUCAUUGUAAUAUAAAUUAUGUGUAGUAGAACAAAUUACUUUGAUUGGUUGGUACUGUUUGUACCUGGAUAUAAUACUUUGACAGUGUUGGUUCUUGUAUACUGCUUGAGCUUUUUCAUCAUUGCAUUUUGCAUUGCACUUUCUUCCCCCCUUUAGUCAUGUUUAAAAAAUCCCUGUGUAAGAAAAUAAGCAGAAGUGACAGAGCAAAAAAGAAAAAAAGGUUAGAAUUUGUUGAAUGGUAAUUGAAAAAGUAUUUAUCAUUGUUGAUCGAAUUCAGUGAGCA